GGGCUUCCGCGAUCGCGGGGACCAACGCCCUGAGCUCUUGUGCCCAAAGGGGAUCGCCAGGUUUUUUGAUGCGGAUCGAAAGGGACUGGCCCCGGAGCCUACAACCUGACGCAGGUGGGACUUGGGGAAAUGUCGAGAAACCUAGGUCUGGGACUUGAGUUGGCUUCCAGGGCACACAUUCUUGUUCAGAAGAAACACAUUGCAAAAAUCGGGAGGUGACGGGCAGAUGAAGUGUCGGCGCUUCGCCUCGGGACUCCAGUGCAACCUAUGGGGCUUUUGGAAAUGAGGAAGUCGAUGACUCUGCAGGGACUCCUCUGACCCAGGAGCAGAUGGCGCUCGUCUGGGCACUCCCCAGGAGAAAAGGUGGACAAGGUGGAGGAGAGAGAAUUCCUUGGCAGUAGCAUUAUGAACAAAUGCAGGGCUGAGAAACAGCAUGGUGGCCUUGACUAAGUUUAUGGCGACAGCAGUUGGGGUAACAUGUGACCUGGAUCUGAUCAUUGUGAUUCAAGUCAGCGUCAUUUAGGGUUUUCGGGAAACAUUUUUUGAAAGGGAGCAACUUGGCUGGAACACUCCAUCAAUUCUUUGCCCUGUGCAUUUUUGCCCUUCUUUCUGCCUCUCAGGAAUGCAGAGAGAAUUCCUGGAGGAACAGCAGCUAUCAUACAUCCGUGAUGAAAGCCAUGGGACAAAGGCAAUUGAGCAAGAAGACAGGAGCUGGGGACAUUCUUGACAGUAGUGCCACCUCUGGAUGAUUUACCUUGGGACCUCUUAUUAAAUGAGAUAGGACUUCUUCCUGUUUAAUCCACUGGAGUGGAAUUUUCUGUUACAGUGAAUGCAGUCCUAAUUGAUGAUAUUGGCUAAUACAUAUUAGCACCUGCUAUGUCCCA
rnacentral:lncRNA from 1 species